CGGGCCGGUUGCUGAGCACAUUCUUGAAGUCGGCCAGCGUGACCCGGUCGGGGCAGACGGGCAGCUUCACCAGGCUCUUCUGCACAUCUUCUCUCAACUGCCUGUAACUAGGGCCAAGCCACAGGAGAAACAAGAUGUGAUUGAACUGGUUCCUAGAGGGCCCCCGCUUGAGGAACAGGAAGCUUCCUGCAACUCGCGCAGCCUCCAUGAAAUAAGGGUCCUCUCCUCCAGGCAUUUCUUCUCCCAAUAAGUGGCAGCUCCGAUCUCAUUGGCAAAAACGACCGCUCCAGAUCUUUCCUGUUUCCUUCCCUCCUCCCAAUCCAGGCUUAACCGAAACCUAGCUGAAGACAACAGAAGUAUUUUCUUUGAUUUCACUGGGCUUUGGAUCAAACCCUGCAGCUGCUCCGCUGGCUUUCCCUAGUUCCUGGCUGCUUUUAUAGGUCAGCAAUGAACAGCCUCGUUGCCUGUAGAAACAGAGAAACCUGGAGGAGAGGCCAAUACCUCCAACCAGCAACGUGCUUGAGAACCUCUGGUGCUAUGGGAGCAGGAACGGGCCCGACUCAACAUAGGGCCGUGAUCUUACAGGAACUUUGCGAUAACAGUUUCCCUCAUUUGUGUAUGGAGAACUUCCACGGCGGGGCUUCAGGUGAAGCUGUGGAUACUGCGUAUACAAAGGAGAGCUUCAAGUGCGUGCAAAAGGGCACGUCUGCAAGCACUGCCGAUGCAUUUUUGGAGGCCUUCGGAAAACACGGUUUUGGCUCCAUGUCUCGUCAAGAAGGCAGAAAUACAGAAAUCCAAUCUGUCACAUGUCAUCUCAGCCCAACAAAUUGCUGGUUUCUUUGGCUUCCAGCCUCACCAGUCUAAUUUGAAAGCAUUUUCUCUUGCUGUGCUUUGCUUGAGGUGGUGGGGGGGUUGCCAGGGGACUAGUGUUACAUCUACAAAUCUGCUGUCCAGGCCGAUGCCUUCCCAGAGGGGCUGGUGCUGCUUCCAGGAUGAUCUCGGCUCCCCAGAGCCUUUCUCACUUUCCUUCCUUGCAGUAAAGAACAUGUGCUGCUACUAAGCACCUGGUCUGGCCAAGACAGACCCACUGUGAGUCCAGGCAGCAGCAGCUACCUGCUUCCACGAGGCCCCUGGCUACACCAUGCAAGAAUGCUUCUCAUUAAAGUAAACUGAAGGUACCAGACAUUUGUACAACCUGGUGCCUUCUUCUUUGGGGUACUCUAACCAUCGUCCCUUGAUGGAGAAACUGGGCAGGAGGUAACUGUCUUCAAGGCAAGGCAAUCAUCCCAACCCUCCUCCCAGACUGCUGGCACCAAGGGAGUUUGGGGCACUGCUCCAGCUCAACACUGACCCCCUUUUUACCCUGGUUUUAUUCUGUCCAGCUGGGAGAGAGGAAGAAGCCAGCACAAGCUCGUCCUGGAGGAGAGGUGGCACAGGAUGGCAAGGGACUGUUCUAAUCCAAAGUGCAAGUAAGAUGCCAAGCGUAGCACCGAGCUGUCUGGGCUCCUCAAACGGCUCAGCCCGUGCACCGCUGCCUGUUCAUUCAGCCUGCCCUCCGCCAAUCCUCCCUCUUUCUUUGCCAGGGCCUGGACUGCUAUCCAAAGGGGAAUGCAAGCUGUUUCCGGCCCGUCCUUGGAAGAACUAUGUCACGCCAACCAGGAGAUCACUCAGCUCUUGGUAGCUGUCCAAGAGCAGCACAGACUUUGGGACCUUGGCAAUGGUAUUUGGCAGCUGUGUCAGCACAGCAGGGAUUCUGGGAGGUGGGGAAGGGAACGCAGACGUACCGAACGACCUUUAGAGAACUGCACUAAAACUCGUGCAGCCGGUGGGUGGGAAAGGGCAGGGGCAGGCUCUUGACCCCUUCCCCCCCAUCUACCAGUGCUAGAAACCUUAGAAGUACCAUUAGCAAUGCAGCCAUGAAGUCACCCUAGCUACCAACUCCAUCCCUCCCCAUCAGUUCCAGCAGGAAACAGUAACUUCUUUUCCUGGCCCACAGCACUGUGUGUUGCUUCAUAUACUCUGUUUCACCUCCAUGGUAAAUGGAGUGAUUUGGAUAUAUGGUAAGAGGCCAGACCCUACAAUCCUUAUACAAACCUGCCCAGCAAGUCAAAGAUUUAAGACUCCAGGAGUUCAAAUUUAAAGACUUAUUCCCCAUAUGGAAAACUUGCCAAAGCUGAUGGGAGUUUCACCCCCAUCCACAACUUGAAGGAUCAGGGCCAGAGCCUACCGAGUACUUUUGGGACACUGAGAUGAAAGGUGCUGCCCAAGUAUGAGGAGCAUGAUGCUGCUGCUAGACAGCUCCUGAUAUGGCAUCUCAAAGAGCAAGGAAUAAAAUCAAACUGCACUGGCAAGUCACUUACAGUCUCCUUUAUUUCUUAAAUGUAAGGAGAGGUACACAGUGGGUUGAUAAAUGAGGACAAUUAAGCAACAAUGAUAGUGUGGAAAUGAAUUAUAUUACAACAAAAAGUAAAGACAGCUUUGUAGACCAAAUUCUCUUCUCAGUCUGGAGGGGAGGUGUGCUUAGCAGUCACACUGCUGAGAAGCUAAAAAUCUGGAUUCUCAUCCCAGAUAUGCCACUGAUUUGCUGCUGUUUGCUGUACAAACAUUUGCUCUGUCCUUUGGGCAAGUCAGCACAGUGCUGCACGCCUCACCUGCCCCAUCAAAAAGGGAAGAACAUCCUACUCACAUGUGUGCUUGAAAAACUUUGAGAUGUCACGGGUGAAGGGUUUUCACCCACUGUUGAGUAGUGUCAUUAUAAGGAGUCACAGGAGUAACUAAGAGAAAAAUUUGGCCCCAUACAUAGUUUUGGAGGCAUUUACUAUCGUGCUUAUUGCUCUAGGUUUAUUACAGUAACAGGAUUUUCUGGUUGAUUAAACCAUGUUUGACUUAAAUGAUGAUGGUUUCCUAUCAAGAAUAAAAACAAUAAUAAAAAAUAAGUGCAAAACCGACUCCACAAGAAGCUAAAGACCGCACUAUAUGACCCCAAGGAGGGGGAGAUGCCUAGUGGAAAAGUCACAGACUCCAAAGGCAGAAGAGACCAUCCUUGGAUGUCGAUUUUCCUACACAACCCAUGCCAGACAACACUGCCUCUCACUCUUGUCUGAGUGAGAGCCCUGCUUUAAAAGAAAAUAUCCAGUCUUGAUGUAGAGAGCUUGUGUGAUACAGACUCCUCCAUGUCUACAGGUAAUUUGUCUAAUGCUUAAUUAUCCAGCUUAUCUCAUAAACCAAGCCUUGGGCUUGUCACUUCUAACGCCUUUUGUGUUUUAGAUUAAAAUCUUAAAAGACACUUCCCUAACUUGCAGUUUCUCUCGUAUGAUCAGGCUUCUCUUCUUUAUUUUUUUUUUUUUAAUAAAACCCCCUAAACAUUGUAAAUUAGAUCUCAAAACAAAUCAAAGAGCGUGAAGAAAUUCAAAAUAAACACACUGCUUUUCUCA